UGCAGAGUGGAGCGCUGGUUGCUUUUCCCCUUCCUCGGGCUUCUUCCUUUGGACUUUAGGAGAUGCUAUUAAUGGCAGAAAUUCAGAGAGAGGGAACUACAUGCUCCUGGUCUCACUGGGAAGGACACUGGGGUACAUGACGAUCUGAGUAUCCUUACUGCUUUAGGAAAGAAGCCCAAAGGUUCCUGAACAACAGGUUUAGUAGGAAAGUGUAUUUUAUCCUGUGAUGUAACUGAGUGUCAAGUCAGAGGCAGUGUCCCUGAGCUGUCUCACAUCUUUGCACUGCAUCUGUAAUGCAGAACUUGGGUUCAGGUUUUUCCACCUUAUUGUCACCACCUCUUAUGGAUGCCUAUUUCUACAGACAAUGGAGAGAAGUGGGAAUCUCCAGCAGGUGAUUCAGCCCAACUCAGACAAGCAAACAAGCCAAUUCAUAAGCUCAGCACAGGCAGUCUUCCCACGGAUACCUGAGACAGCUACAUUUCUUUUUUUUUCUUUUUUUUUUUUCUUUUUUUUUUUUUGUGGUAACACUUGUUUUACAAAGUUCAGUGAAGAAAACCAAAUGCAAAAGUGAUUCUCAGGUGUAAUGUCCCUGAAGGAGGAAGGAGCUCUGCUAUAAAAGGUGUGCCAGUCCCCGCCAGCACUACACCACUGAUGGUACCAGUCCUGUCUGGCUGAGAGGUGCUGCAGGAAUAAUUAAUAUUUCUGAAGAAUGGUUCCAAAGGUGGGGGAGAAACACAUUUGUUGCCUGGGGUGGCUCUUAGAUUGUAAAUCAUAUGGCAGUCCCACAUAAAUACCUUUGAGAGCUUUUAAUGAACCGUGUCCCAUAGGUGAAAGCCAACAGCAAUAUUAGAAAUGGUGUUUGUUUUAUGGCCUAGAAACUGCAUUUUAAAUGCUAGUAUAGCUUUAUAUGACAGUUGUAUUAAAUAUAAAAUAGACCCAUUACAAAGAAAGCCCUUUACAUCUGCUUUUAUCUGUGUCUAAAUGGCAUGCCCAGCUCUGCAAUUUCUCAAAUGAGACAUUUUUAGAACUUUAUUUAUGUUACAGCCAUAACAAACUAGCAACUAGAAAACUAUAAUGGGCACAAACGGCUAAUAAAAAUGAGAUUGUUGAAAAAUACUUCUUAAUAGCAAUUUACAAAGGAUCCUGAUAAAACAGAACUGAGGCUCUGUUUCCCUGGACGUUUGCCACUACUGUAAUCACAGUCAUUUGGCAACAGGUACUCCCCCUCUUCCAUCUUCUCUGACCAUUUCCCUCUGAAUAUGCUGAAAGCCAAGUACCCUGAGGUUACUCCCUGCCCUGCCAUUAGUCACUUGGUACCUACUGAUGCAUAGACACAGAGCAGCAAUUCCCCUUUUCUCUCCUCUUACCAUGCAUGGGAUGACCUGACAGAGGAAGCAUCCUGAAGUCACAAGCUCAGAGGAGAAUAGGGCAGCAAGGCAGUAUCUGUCCCACACAUGCAGAGGGUGUCCUUUUUGCUUCUGAAACCUGCAUCACCUCUCUGAUGAACUGAUCUGUUUACACAGACUGGCUAAGAUGAGUAGGUCAAGCUCUCUGUUUAUAGACUGAAAAUUAUUUUGCCUUGAGCUGCCCAAGCAAAAGACUGGAGGUGAACUGAUUUCUUUCGAAGGACAACUUCUGUGAGUUUUGAGAAUGUCCAUGUGGCUGUUCACAUGAUGCCAGGGAGAAACUUUCUGCCACCCAAGGAAGAAAUGCCUUCUUCCAGAUCCUCACUCAUCUGCCACAGACAUACUGGUUAGCCAAGGGAGAAAAGGGUAAAGCAACAUGUUCAAGUCAAGGUCAGAGAAUUUGGUAUGAUCUAAUUGCAGGUAGUGAUGAAUAUCAUUGAAUAUAAACAAAUGGCUUAAUCAGUACAGCAUUAUACUUACCUAAUAAGGAAAAAUUCCUGUUAGUUUUUACAUCCAAUGGAAAACAACCAAGUUUUAGGAAAGAAAAUGAAACAGUUUUUCUUGAAUUAUGAAGGGCUAAAAGCACCAAACAGUUUACUGGGGAAAGAAAAAAAAAAAAAAAAAAGAUAAUGAUAUGUCUUAACAUCACUUAAGACCUGCCCUGAAAGUUGGUUGUUCAUGUCACUACUUAGAAUCAUAUAAUGAGAUAGUCCAAACUCCAUGCAAAGUAAGAUUUGCAUCAGUGUGGGAAGCUACUCAACCACCUCCCAGGGAGGCUGCCAGAAGCAGUAGAAACAGUACCCACGUGCCAGGAAAAUCUCAGCCCAGACCUCUCCUGAACUCACAGCUCUCUGCACACAUCCACUAACUCAUCUGUUAUGCUUACUGCUAGUUUGCUAGUUCAGUUUGAGAUGAAGACUAUGCAUUGUGUCCUUAGAAAUUCUGCCUUUACCCAAAAGAGAUUCAACAGUAUAGCCUGAAAUAUCUGAAACUAGCACUAAGUGCAGAAUAUUUCACGCAAUGGUAGGAGAAGAGCUUUGACAGUACAGAUACACAUACAGUUACAUAUACUGACUGGGGUAUAAGUGCAGAAUGAUAACUGUUUUAUACACUGUGAGUCUGUAGCAUUACCUCAAUUGAUGGUAGCCUUGUGGCUGUCACUGCAAAAAUUUAGCCUUCAGAUAGACCUCUGUUGACUUUUUUACUGAAAAUUAAAUAUUUGGCUAAAGAUUAAACAAAAGGAAAAGGAAGCAUAAAAAUGUAUUAAACUCCAAACAAAAUCAUGGCAACAACAGGAACUGCAGAAACAACAUCGGUUUAGAGCUGAGCUAAUCAAAGCACGUGGAUUAGCCUGACCUGUGAACAGCUGAGCUUCCACUCUAGAGGCAGUGUCUCACUCAGAUAUUGGCAUUAGAAAUUGCAAAAGUCCUGCUAUCAGAUGUGAAAGGCCCUCUACUCCUACCUCUGUGGGAUCAAGGAUGUUAACACUUAAGGGAAUGAACCUCUGGAGUGAUUGCAUUUUGGUCUUUACCUGAAGCAGAGUGAUGAGAAGAUGAGAGGUUCUCCUUGAGUUGCAAUCUGCUGUAUUCCUACUGCCUCCAGCGAUGCAAAGCAGCCACUUGGUGGCAGGGAAGGGAGAUGUUGUUGGAAACAUCCAUCUCCAGAGGAGAGCUUUCUUCCGUCUUCCCAGAAGAGGCAAUAUAGAGUUAUCAUCAUGUUUUGCAAAUGCCACGAAUACAUACAGAUCAUAAUCUUUCACUGGCUGAUGAUUAAAUUGCAUUUUGGACACAAACAACCAGGGCCAACAUCUCUCAAAAUAGAAUGGGAACCAAUAAAAGUAAUUUAAAUAUAAUGGGGCCAUAUUUUUUUUAGUGAAAAGAGAGUUACACAAGAUUUCUCCUGCAAGAGUUAUGUUGUGAUCUAAAAUACAACUUUGAUCAGAUGCUGGAGCUAUCUUUUCUACCUGUGUGACCUUUUUCUUGCAUGAUAGAGGUAAGGGAAAUCAGUAGAGAAAGAAGGAAAAUGAGUCACUAGUGCAGAAAGAAGCUCAAUUGUCAGCUGCAUCAAACUGGUUUUGAGAAGAAAACAAAACAACAGCUACUCCCAGAGAUCUAAAGAUGUAAACAACAGUAAAAUCAAAAGUACACUUAUAUAUAUCUCUUGGAAGUAUCAGAUGCACAGUAGAUAACGGCAGAAUGAGGUAUUACCUGCUCUGUGUGUUGAUGGAAACAUUCAUCUGCAAGAACCGAUGUCUUCCUGGUCUCUAAUUACAUUGAUUCUCUCGCAUGCAUAAAGUUGCAAUAUCUCUAAUUAUAUGAAUUAAUGUUUCCCCAUUGUUUCACAACUUCAGUGAGAGUACAACUCCUGAGAAUGAGAAACUGCAGGAAGAAAAUUGCAUACUUAAUUCAUCCCCCAAAUCAGAAUUGUGUUGAUAGAUACUGUUUUUCUGAUCUGCUCUGAAGUGCACAUUUGGUUAUCUUGUACAGUUUCAGAGAUCUAUGCUAUAAAAUCCCAGUUCAAAGACAGAGCCACGACUGAAAGAUUUUGUAUUAACAUUUGUAGGUUUUUUUAGUAAUGCUUUUCUAUUCUGAAGAUAUGCACGCAGCAUGUAUGUCAGUAUGUUCAGUGUUUUACAGUCUGCAGACUCCUGUAAGUUUUUCCAUGGAAUUAUGGAUACCUGCAUAGACAGCUAAAACUUUCUAUUUGGGAAUGUAUUUCUCUGAGCUCCCUUUUGCAAAUCCUGUAGUACUCCUCUGGAGAUCUGAUGGAUCUUCAAAGGUUUUCACCUCAUGUUGAAAUUCAGGCCUCACCCUUUGUAAUAAAGUAACCUCAAAAGAUUUAGGUUGAAUUUAUUUAGGCAGAAGAACUUUGAAUAUAUUCCAGAUUUUUUUGUGUCUGAAGAUUUUCUGCAGAAAGAAUAAAAAGUCAACUCUUUUUAAAUCAGCUAAUGACAGUAGAGAAAAUUUUCUCUCUCCUUUCUUUACUACAAAUUGCCACAAAAAUUAAUUCUCUUCCAUUUGCAGAUCAUGCAAGGUUACAGAGCCUGAGUUACCGUAUCUUGCACGGAUGGCUUCCAGUCAUUUUAUUUUUAGAAACUAGAACUAGAGGAAUACACCAAAUUAGACAAAGUUUCCUCCCCUAUUUAAACUUCAUGAAAAGUGCUGGACAUGUAGAUCUUAGGUUAAGCUUUGAAAGGAUUAAGAAUUAAUCCAGGCCAUUCUCAGAUCACUUUUCAAAAAUAAGAAUGAGCAGAUAUGAGUGAAUUUUAUUUUAAACACUUAAAAUGAUACCAGUUUUAACCAAUGAAAGUGAUAUGAAAUGUUGUGAGGAACAGCACCAUUCUAAAUUCUAAUUCUUCAAAAAUUAUGUGUAUAUUGAAAAUGUAUGAAUGUAUUUUGUGUUUAUACAGUUUACUGACUUCUCUCUUAGGAGAUCAUGGCUUACAUAAGGUCAGGAAGAAGUUAUUAGGGAAAGAAAUAACGUGGCCUAAAAAGAUCAAAUCACUUGACCUGAUAGAACAUUUAUGCAGCUGAGACUAGAUUUCAGCUCUCCUAGGUGAUACUGCAUGCAUGCAUUAGUCAUACUGAGGCACCAUAAUGAGAUGAAACCAUGAAUGCUGAGCUGUGAGGAUGUGUGGUUAAUUCCUAAAAUCAACUUGGAUGAAAGAGCUGAUUUAUCACAGGAAUAUGAAUACUUUUUUCUUACAGGUGUAUGGUACCCGUCUUCAUUUUAUAGUUGCUCAGAGGAACAAAUUUACUAUAUUUUGAAUUCCAUCUGUUUUCUGAUGGCUAUAAAGCUGAUGUCUGUAGUGCAGAAUUGUUUGGCUCGAUGUAAUUUGAGUACCAGAAAAGCCCUUCUUGGUUCAUGGUUCCAAAUGCUUCACAUCUUUCAAACCUCUAACGACUUUCACGUGAUCCAUCUGGAUCUCCCACCACCAUCCCUGCAGGACAACUGCAUCACAGGAUCACUCUCACAGCCUGGAUGUCUGUGUAGGCAUGGCUGGCAUCUCCUUCUCACCACUUUUCCACUAACAAUAAUAAAAUAAUAAUACUAAUACUAAUACUACUACUACUAAUAAUAAUAAUAAUAAAAGCCUUGGUAACUAGCUGGGGAGGAUAAUACAGAUCCUAACUGUCACCCCUCCUCCCAAAACAUGCAAACCAAAGCACCCAUUGAUCUGGGAGGAGCUCAUAAGGAAGCCAGAAACAAGCACAACAAAUCAUGAAAAACAUCUGCAAGUGACUUCAGCUAGAACACAUGAUUGGAAAGUAUUCUGUGUCCAAAAUAUCCCUGAGUUCAACUUUCACCAAAAUCCAAGGACCACCACCUCUGCUUCAGUGACUUGAAGCAUCCGGAGUUCACAGCUCAUGAACAUCUCAACAUGUGCAAUAAAGUCCUGCUAUCCUCUGUGUCCCUGAGGUAUUUCAUCUCAAUAGUGAGCUGAUGCUUUCCUUAAGAGUAUUUUUAGGGAUGCAAAAAGAAAUGUUGAAGGUAAGACGGCUGUGUACAGAGGAAGAUUAUAUUCCAAUCACUUCAAAGAGAAUGGGGGAGAGGGCAUGUUUCUAAUUUCUAUACAAAAACAAAGGAAGUAAUUUCUUUCAAGGUUUUUUAUUUGUUUUUCAAAUUACACAGUCCUCAACUUUUAAAAUAAUAAUCAUUCUUGACAGCCAUUUAAUAAUUGUUAGUGAUCUAUAGCUUUAUUAUAAAGUACUCGUCUAAUGAUGUAUUUCCUUUACCCUGAGGGCCAAGUACAAAGCAGGGAAAUUAUCUUGGUGAUACUUUUAAUAACUUCCUGUGGGAUUGCAAACUCUGGCUGAAACUGUCUCUGCAAAAGAGUUAAUCAUGUAAUUUCACAGAUUAGACAACAGAGGGUUACUAAUGAGAAACUUCAGUUCAGUGAUAAACUCUUUUUUUUUCCAAGAAUAUUUUGAGAGGCCUGUAACCUUUGGCUGACACCCAACAAGGCUAUUAGUUUAACCAUGGGAUGCACUACCAAAUGUACAAGAGUCAGCAGAACUUUUCCUUCUGAAAAUUGCUCAUAACCCUCUGUGAAGAAGCCUUUGAAAACCCAGAAGGGAAAGAUGGAAGGGAAAAAAAAUCAGGCAAAAAGGAGCUGACUUAUCAGCUUCCGAUAAUUGGCAUGGCUUCAGCUUCCCGUUUCUUUUCAACAAUGUACGCUCACUAUAGCAACCCCGGAUCCCAUUUAAAUGUCAUGCUGCCCUCUGUUCUAUAAACAUGUAUCAUCCAUCACUAAAUAUUUAGAUCUGAAUUGUUGGAGCUGAGUUCUGUGCCAGGGGUAAGGGGAUUAAUUCCUUUCAAGGCCCUCACAUGAUGGAUUUUUCACUGAAGUAAACAUCCGAGAAGAGCUCACACUACAGCCAUAAAAUAUAUAAAUAAAGUUUAAAGUUUAAUUAAGUCAACAUUAUUUAAAGUGGUUGUCAUAUUUUAUGGUGAACUCUUCAUGUUUAUUUUGUAUGACUCCUCAUAAAUAGUCUCUCCCCUUCAGACAAAAGGCAUGGCUGGGUUAAAGUGAAGGGUCCCAUGCAUGCGUGAUAGGGGAAGUAGGAUCUCGCAGGCUCAGGAGAUCCACAGCAAGCCGUAUCGGGCCUUCUGCUAUCUCGUGUCUCCCUAAUGAGCUGAGAUGUUGUGCAGACACAGGAAAAGCAUGGCGGAGUUUACAGCGGAUGUGACACGGGGAAGCCCUCUGAGUGGCUAUUGGGGCUAAGGCAGGGGAGGGCCUCAUCCUGCUGGGUUUGUAGUUCUUCCUUGGCACAGGGGAGGAGAUUGGUUUGGAGGGAUAAGCUGAGAGGGGCAGUUUGUCAGAGGAGAAGAUUAUACCAAGCAUCUGUGGAGAGCUGAUCUUUCUUCUGUUCCUCUUUCAUCCUUAUUUUUAUCCCUCACAAAAAAUAGUCAAUCCAAGGUGCUUCUAAGAGGAAAAUGAUACGAUGUCAUUACACUGCCUAAUCCUUUGGAACAGAAAGAAUCAUUUUAAGAGUGAAAGUAAGUGGAGAAACGCAUUGAAGGAUUGUUGAUCAGUGCUCUCCUGUAGGGAGGUCUCAUCAUGCCCUGACAAAGACUUAUGGAUGAUUAGCUGAGCACCCAGAGGAGAAAUGGGAAAAGAAAUGUUAGACCUCCAGGUCAAACUGCUGGAAAACUUGAAUUCAAUUUCUGUGCUCCUGCUGCUGCUGUGGGCAGCUCCUGCCUAUGCUCUGCACGCCAGCAAUGGACUGCAUCCUUUCAGUUAAAUUACUUGUCUUUAAGGCAAAUACAGAACUGUUGUGAAAUGCUCAUAUCCUCAAGGGACAUGUGUUGUAUAAGACUGAGAGCUCUUUUUCACUCUUUCUCAGGAUUUUCUGUGACAGAGGACCAGAAAUGUUGCCGGGAUAGUAGAUUUUGAAGUCUGGAUUGGUAGCAAAAGUAUUCACUGCGAUGGGAGUGGUGAUCGAGAAAACAGAACAAGUCCUUUGGGAAUUCCAGUGAUUUCAGCAGUUACACUGGCAUACAACUGAUACAAAGAAGUGAUGAAUCAGACUCUGUAGAAGAAAUCCUAGCCCAUUGAAUUCAGCAGGAAUUCUGCCAUUGACCUCAAGAGAGAAACGUUUUUACUAUGAAUCAACAAAGUUAGAACCACUUUCAUCCUUUCUACACAAACGAUAUGUUGUGUUCCCUUCUGAUAGACCUAUGAAGGGAAAGCAGCUCAGGAUGGCCAAUGGUUUCCCUCACCAGUGCAGUCACUAAAGAGAAUCAAGAAUCAGGAAGUCAGACUACACUCUGCAAUUGCUUCUUCAAACCUUAAAAAUCAAGGAGACAUGGAGCGAAUGACUGUAUUAGGUUUGAGUCAAUGGAGAAUUACGUUCUGCUGCAUCUGGAGAGGAUAAGAAUUUGCAGGAAUCAUG
ensembl:lncRNA